ensembl:lncRNA
UUGUCAGGCAAUGACUUGUUGGCAGAAAAAGCGUGGUCCUUGGUAGCCAUGACAAGAAGGAGGUCCCAUAAAUGGGGCUGGGCUGUUUGUUGCUGGCAGGUAAAAGAAAAAACACAGAGAAAAAUGAAAAUCAGGGGAAGUCCAGGCCUUGGAAUUUUCACUCCAAGGUCCCCUGCCUGGACCUCCCCCUAGCAGAUGAACAUAGAGAGGUAGGGUAGGUGAGGUGAGCGUAGGGCUCGAACCCGGGCCUCUAUGUUACUAAGCUGCUAGCCCGCCACAUGUGGCCACAUGACGGGCAAACAAAAGCGGGAAAAUUCCUCUAUUUAAAGACCACAACGCGCACAUCACGCACCCAGCCUUUUGGAAAUGAGCUGGAGACCAGGCAUUUUUGCACUCCAAUACUUAGUAAAUUUCACACACUCACACCUGAUUUUUUCCCUGCACACCUCUUUGGUUUGGGCCUGUUUUCUUCCUUCGUUGAUAUAUGUGUAACUGAUACAUGAGAUUGGCCCUUACCGCUGUAUGGACUGAUAUAUAGGGUGCCUUAAAGGCCGCCUUAAAACUAAGUGUUUCCCUGAGCUUUUAAUUGCGGCUUGAAAAAAGUAAAAAGAAAUGAAAAAAAAAGAGAGAGAGAAAAAUGGAGGCAGGCUUGAGCUUCGUCUUUCACUCUGGGCCUACCCUGCUCUAGCAGACGGACUACUAUCAGAGACUCGAACUAGGGUCGUUAAACUCUGGAGUCCGAAUGCUGGCCUCUUAACGCUGUACACCACUCAGCAGGGCGAGUAAAUUUCGGAAAAAAAAGGACAUUUAUCUUUUGUUCUUCAAUUUUUUAUUUUUUUUUUGUUAUCGUUUUUCUAAAUCUAUUAAGCUUCUUGUGCAAUAUUGUUCCACACAAAUUACACAUGGACACCUAGCUAUUUUUUUAUUGGCAUUCACAAAAUGGGACUGGAUGUUGGAGGGCUUACCAAAGCCUUCCUGCUACCCGAAUCCCUGCUUGGAAACCUGCUGGCGGCAGCGGCACCAUGUUUUCACCACACUCUUCAGCUUCAGCUGUCUUUUUUGCCUCAUGGCUAUACCCACACUGACCACUCCUUCAAUGAAGAGCUGGGAUGCUCAUCUUCUGAUGGAGCGCUCUCGAGCUGUGAUGGGUCCAGAUAUCAGCGC